rnacentral:rRNA from 1 species
CCUACGGGAUGCACCAGUGGGGAAUCUUGCGCAAUGGGCGAAAGCCUGACGCAGCCAUGCCGCGUGAAUGAUGAAGGUCUUAGGAUUGUAAAAUUCUUUCACCGGGGACGAUAAUGACGGUACCCGGAGAAGAAGCCCCGGCUAACUUCGUGCCAGCAGCCGCGGUAAUACGAAGGGGGCUAGCGUUGCUCGGAAUUACUGGGCGUAAAGGGCGCGUAGGCGGACAUUUAAGUCAGGGGUGAAAUCCCGGGGCUCAACCUCGGAACUGCCUUUGAUACUGGGUGUCUUGAGUGUGAGAGAGGUAUGUGGAACUCCGAGUGUAGAGGUGAAAUUCGUAGAUAUUCGGAAGAACACCAGUGGCGAAGGCGACAUACUGGCUCAUUACUGACGCUGAGGCGCGAAAGCGUGGGGAGCAAACAGGAUUAGAUACCCGCGUAGUC